GGAUAAUGCAAGUGUUUAACAGAUGCUUCACUAUUAAAAUAUUUUCCCCCCAAGUCUCAAAUAUUGAAGAAUCUCUAACCAGGGACACCAGUCCCUACGAAGACCUUGGGCGAUUUUGAAGUGCGGGCACCUCGAUUCCCCGAAUCUGUAGUGUGGCUGGUAUCGGUGUUCCCCUGGUUUAACUAGCCUGUUUGUGGAAGUGACUCUGACCGUUCCCUUAAGAAUCUUUAAUGCUCUUACAUGAGAUGAGCCUCAGAACAAGCUAAGAACCAUCGAAAGAACAUCAAGCCUGGAAGGUGACAGAAGGAGCAAUGUGUUCUUGAAGAUGUCACCUCAGCCCACCUGCUCCAAGGACAGUGCUUCUUGCGACACUCUGAUAGCUCUGCAUUCUUUUCUGUACCAGGAAGGCACAGAUCAUUCAUGGGGAUGUAUAACCGAAACCAGUCCUCUCCACCGCCUGGGGAUCUUCACUUUCGCAGUCUACGACUGCCUGUGACUCCAGAAAGACAAACUGCAGAUUGGCCAAGUGCCUUUCAAACUGUUUUUUACUGGAUGAAGAAACUCAACCAAGAAAAUAUAUGUCGAUUCUUGUAUAUGGGACAAUAUUAGCUGCUGUGAUUUUUAAUACUAGCAUAAAAUAUAAGAAUCUUUUUAUUACUGUGAUAUUGUUUUUUCCUAAAUGAAUGCAUAGUGUAACAAUUGGUGUCAAAAAGCAUUGAAUUUUUUUCAGAUGGAUUAAGCUGGAAUAAUAAAGUAUAUCUAUGAGAUGAUUUCUGUAAACUCUGACUUGCUGAGAAAAAAGUGAAAAAGCUUUUUCUGGAAGAAACAUGGCAACUUAACCGUUAUUAAUCUGGACUAAAUAAAACAGGAAACUGCUUCUUUA
ensembl:lncRNA HAND2-AS1 HAND2 antisense RNA 1